ACCCUCAAAAGUUUUGGUUUUCCCUCUCAUUCUCAGAAUUCACAAUUAACAUUCCCUCAAAAGUUUUGGAUUUCCCUCCCAUUCUCAGAAUUCACAAUUAACAUCCAUCUAGAUCUGAAUCUCAAUCGAUUGUCUCCACCUUCCAUUUCCCAUCCCCAUCUUCCAAGGGGAUGGAUAUCUCCUCUAAUGGAUUCUCGCCACUGCCUCACUGAUGCAUUACGACUGAGUUACCGGCGAACCACCAGACAACCAUCAUCUCUGCUCGAAUCCUCGUUGCUUCACUCCUUACUUCAGCCCUGGGCGGAUGCGAGCCAGUGGUGAUCCUUAUUUCAGCGUCGGAAGAAGCAACUACCUUGGUGGUGAUAAACCAUUAGCAGCUCUUAAGUUACUUCAGAAAGUCGAUGAUCUCAACUACCUUGUACUUGAAUGCUUAGCAGAACGCACCCUUGCCGACCGCUACCAGGAGAUGUUGUCAGGCGGUGAAGGUUUUGACCCCCGGAUUUCAGAGUGGAUACAAUUGCUCCUUCCGUUGGCUGUUGAGAAAGGAGUGUGCACUAUUACUAACAUGGGUGCAAGUAAGCAACCUUAAUCGGUUUCGCCUAUGUAAUUUGUUCGCUUUAUUAAAUGCGAUUUUGUUUUUCUUGGAAAAAAAAUGCAUUGGCUGCUCAAGAAAAGGAUUUGGAAAUUGCAAGCGGAUUGGGUAUUAAGAUUACUGUAGGUGUAGCGCACCAGUUUGAUAGUGCCAAAGCAGGGUAUAAGCAUGUAUCUAGGGGCAGCUCCUAUUGAAGUACAAUCCUGAUGUUGUCUUCACUUCUUGGGUUGCUGAUGCUUCCUUAUUUCUAGCUCCAAUGGUCUAUGAACUCGGGUGGAACUGGGAUGACUUCUCGCUGUUAGCCCAGGGCUCUUUGGCUGGACACCUGCUAGAAUGCGGCUGUCAACUCACUGGAGGAUAUUUUAUGCAUCCAGGUCAAUGUGGAUCACAUGAAGCUCCAAAAAGGAAAAGGAAAAGUUAGUGUGAGCAAGUUGAGGAAUAUAUUGCAAGGAUCAGAGUAUGUGCUUACCUUUAGGGACAAGGGUGGUGAUUUGAUGUUUGUGGGAGUAAGUAUGAAGCAAAUUAACUUGUUUAGUUUGUCCACUUUCGUUAUGUUAUUUCCAGUAUAGUGUUGUAGCAUUUUGAAAGGAACUAAACUCAAGUAAUAAGAACAAUUAAUAAAUUUCAGAGGUUUGAUUUGUU